rnacentral:misc_RNA from 1 species
GAUGAAGAACGUAGCGAAACGCGAUAAGUAAUGUGAAUUGCAGAAUCCAGUGAAUCAUCGAAUCUUUGAACGCACAUUGCGCCCGCCAGCAUUCUGGCGGGCAUGCCUGUUCGAGCGUCAUUUCAACCCUCGACCUCCCCUUGGGGAGGUCGGCGUUGGGGACCGGCAGCACACCGCCGGCCCUGAAAUGGAGUGGCGGCCCGUCCGCGGCGACCUCUGCGCAGUAAUACAGCUCGCACCGGGACCCCGACGCGGCCACGCCGUAAAACACCCAACUUCUGAACGUUGACCUCGAAUCAGGUAGGACUACCCGCUGAACUUAAGCAUAUCAAUACGGAGG